CCUACGGGAGGCAGCAGUGGGGAAUAUUGCACAAUGGGGGAAACCCUGAUGCAGCGACGCCGCGUGAGUGAAGAAGUAAUUCGUUAUGUAAAGCUCUAUCAGCAGGGAAGAAAAUGACGGUACCUGAGUAAGAAUCACCGGCUAACUACGUGCCAGCAGCCGCGGUAAUACGUAGGGGGCAAGCGUUAUCCGGAUUUACUGGGUGUAACGGGAGCGUAGACGGCAGUGCAAGUCUGGAGUGAAAGGCGGGGGCUCAACCCCCGGACUGCUCUGGAAACUGUACGGCUGGAGUGCAGGAGAGGUAAAUGGAAUUCCUAGUGUAGCGGUGAAAUGCGUAGAUAUUAGGAGGAACACCAGUGGCGAAGGCGGCUUACUGGACUGUAACUGACGUUGAGGCUCGAAAGCGUGGGGAGCAAACAGGAUUAGAUACCCCAGUAGUC
rnacentral:rRNA from 1 species